AAAUUGAAGAGUUUGAUCAUGGCUCAGAUUGAACGCUGGCGGCAGGCCUAACACAUGCAAGUCGAACGGUAACAGGAAGCAGCUUGCUGCUUUGCUGACGAGUGGCGGACGGGUGAGUAAUGUCUGGGAAACUGCCUGAUGGAGGGGGAUAACUACUGGAAACGGUGGCUAAUACCGCAUAACGUCGCAAGACCAAAGAGGGGGACCUUCGGGCCUCUUGCCAUCAGAUGUGCCCAGAUGGGAUUAGCUUGUUGGUGAGGUAACGGCUCACCAAGGCGACGAUCCCUAGCUGGUCUGAGAGGAUGACCAGCCACACUGGAACUGAGACACGGUCCAGACUCCUACGGGAGGCAGCAGUGGGGAAUAUUGCACAAUGGGCGCAAGCCUGAUGCAGCCAUGCCGCGUGUAUGAAGAAGGCCUUCGGGUUGUAAAGUACUUUCAGCGGGGAGGAAGGUGUUGCGGUUAAUAACCGCAGCAAUUGACGUUACCCGCAGAAGAAGCACCGGCUAACUCCGUGCCAGCAGCCGCGGUAAUACGGAGGGUGCAAGCGUUAAUCGGAAUUACUGGGCGUAAAGCGCACGCAGGCGGUCUGUCAAGUCGGAUGUGAAAUCCCCGGGCUCAACCUGGGAACUGCAUUCGAAACUGGCAGGCUUGAGUCUUGUAGAGGGGGGUAGAAUUCCAGGUGUAGCGGUGAAAUGCGUAGAGAUCUGGAGGAAUACCGGUGGCGAAGGCGGCCCCCUGGACAAAGACUGACGCUCAGGUGCGAAAGCGUGGGGAGCAAACAGGAUUAGAUACCCUGGUAGUCCACGCCGUAAACGAUGUCUACUUGGAGGUUGUGCCCUUGAGGCGUGGCUUCCGGAGCUAACGCAUUAAGUAGACCGCCUGGGGAGUACGGCCGCAAGGUUAAAACUCAAAUGAAUUGACGGGGGCCCGCACAAGCGGUGGAGCAUGUGGUUUAAUUCGAUGCAACGCGAAGAACCUUACCUGGUCUUGACAUCCACGGAAGUUUUCAGAGAUGAGAAUGUGCCUUCGGGAACCGUGAGACAGGUGCUGCAUGGCUGUCGUCAGCUCGUGUUGUGAAAUGUUGGGUUAAGUCCCGCAACGAGCGCAACCCUUAUCCUUUGUUGCCAGCGAUUAGGUCGGGAACUCAAAGGAGACUGCCAGUGAUAAACUGGAGGAAGGUGGGGAUGACGUCAAGUCAUCAUGGCCCUUACGACCAGGGCUACACACGUGCUACAAUGGCGCAUACAAAGAGAAGCGACCUCGCGAGAGCAAGCGGACCUCAUAAAGUGCGUCGUAGUCCGGAUUGGAGUCUGCAACUCGACUCCAUGAAGUCGGAAUCGCUAGUAAUCGUGGAUCAGAAUGCCACGGUGAAUACGUUCCCGGGCCUUGUACACACCGCCCGUCACACCAUGGGAGUGGGUUGCAAAAGAAGUAGGUAGCUUAACCUUCGGGAGGGCGCUUACCACUUUGUGAUUCAUGACUGGGGUGAAGUCGUAACAAGGUAACCGUAGGGGAACCUGCGGUUGGAUCACCUCCUUACCUGAAAGAA
rnacentral:rRNA from 1 species